rnacentral:rRNA from 1 species
AAUAGAUACCCAGGUAGUCCACGCCGUAAACGAUGAGUGCUAGGUGUCGGGGGGUCCUACCCUCGGUGCCGAAGGUAACCCAUUAAGCACUCCGCCUGGGGAGUACGGCCGCAAGGCUGAAACUCAAAGGAAUUGACGGGGGCCCGCACAAGCGGUGGAGCAUGUGGUUUAAUUCGAAGCAACGCGAAGAACCUUACCAGGGCUUGACAUCCCGCUGACCGCUCCAGAGAUGGAGCUUCCCUUCGGGGCAGCGGUGACAGGUGGUGCAUGGUUGUCGUCAGCUCGUGUCGUGAGAUGUUGGGUUCAGUCCCGCAACGAGCGCAACCCUUAUCGCUAGUUGCCAGCAUUCAGUUGGGCACUCUAGCGAGACAGCCGGUGAAAGCCGGAGGAAGGUGGGGAUGACGUCAAAUCAUCAUGCCCCUUAUGUCCUGGGCUACACACGUGCUACAAUGGCCGGUACAAUGGGUCGCCAACCCGCGAGGGGGAGCUAAUCCCACAAAACCGGUCUCAGUUCGGAUCGCAGG